rnacentral:rRNA from 1 species
GACGAACCACACAAACGUUAUUCGGAAUCACUGGGCUUAAAGGGUGCGUAGGCGGCGCGGAAAGUAGGGUGUGAAAUCCCUCGGCUCAACCGAGGAAUAGCGCCCUAAACUACCGUGCUCGAGGGAGAUAGAGGUGAGCGGAACUUAGGGUGGAGCGGUGAAAUGCGUUGAUAUCCUAAGGAACACCGGUGGCGAAAGCGGCUCACUGGAUCUCUUCUGACGCUGAGGCGCGAAAGCUAGGGGAGCAAACGGG